UGAAUACCACAACAAAUAAAAGCAAAACCAUUUGUGCCAUUCGUGUUAAGAAGUUGAAUUGAAACUGCUUAAUUUGAAUUAAAGCAUGAAUUCAAUAUACUACAACCUGAGCAUGAAUGCAAUUAAUAUAUCUAACUGAAAAAAGAAAAAAAAAAACAAAGAUAUUUAUAUAACAUAAAAGUUCAUAAAAGGAUGUGAUAUAUAUGCUCAUGUUCCCAUUCAAUAAUUAAUGUCAUACAACAUAAACGCAUUCACUUUUUUUUUUGGACAGCGAUAAACGCAUUCACUUAGCCAAAGUUGUCGAUCAGCCAAGCCAUAUCUUGUAUCUCCCCUUUUGCUAUAGAGGUUGAAAGAGUUGAUAUAAGGUGCUUCAGCGCCAAACCCAUUGUUUUUUUCUUCAACAAAUCAAUAUAGACCAUUCAUUGAAAAUGUCUAGCAACACUUAACAAAACAUACAAAAUGCUAAGCUAAACAGAGUGUUACAACAGUGUACAAUAUAUCGACAAUGGCGAUCAGACACAAACACACACACACUGAAAAUUAACAACACAAGCACAAAAAACAGAAAAUUCCCAUUAAUAAAUGAACUGAUCCGUGGACAAGGUGUUGGGCACGGUCAAGAAAAUGAAGCCCAAGGGUGUGUCUAUCUUGGAGCAAGAAGUGAACCACAAUGGACAGGUUUUUCUGAACAUAGAGGAUGCAUAACUGAAACUUCUUAAAGCUUGGGUUUUUCUAAGGUGUUUGGAUCCAGCUUUGGGAACAAGCAUGGGAAGGCAUAUAUAUAUAUAUAUAUAUAUAUAUAUAUAUAUAUGUCUAAGAUCAAUGUAGUUGCGUUUUGGGUGGAGAAAGAGAUCCAAAGCAUUAGAACAAAGAAAGUGGGUGAGGGAGGCUAUGGUAUGGGAAUGGCAUGUAUGCAUGCUCUCAUAAUGCAUGAUAACAAUGUGGUGUAGGUGUCAA
rnacentral:lncRNA from 1 species